GUGGGUAUAGUUCAGUGGUAGAGUGUGUGUUUAGCAUGCACGAGGUCCUGGGUUCAGGCCCCAGUACUUCCA
rnacentral:tRNA from 1 species